GUGGGGAAUUUUGGACAAUGGGCGAAAGCCUGAUCCAGCAAUGCCGCGUGUGUGAAGAAGGCCUUCGGGUUGUAAAGCACUUUUGUCCGGAAAGAAAUCCUUUGGGUUAAUACCUCGGAGGGAUGACGGUACCGGAAGAAUAAGGACCGGCUAACUACGUGCCAGCAGCCGCGGUAAUACGUAGGGUCCGAGCGUUAAUCGGAAUUACUGGGCGGAAAGCGUGCGCAGGCGGUUUUGUAAGACAGAUGUGAAAUCCCCGGGCUUAACCUGGGAAUUGCAUUUGUGACUGCAAGGCUAGAGUGUGUCAGAGGGGGGUAGAAUUCCACGUGUAGCAGUGAAAUGCGUAGAGAUGUGGAGGAAUACCGAUGGCGAAGGCAGCCCCCUGGGAUAACACUGACGCUCAUGCACGAAAGCGUGGGGAGCAAACAGGAUUAGAUACCCCAGUAGUCC
rnacentral:rRNA from 1 species